AGCAGCCGCGGUAAUUCCAGCUCCAAUAGCGUAUAUUAAAGUUGUUGCAGUUAAAAAGCUCGUAGUUGAAUUUCGGGAUCAGUAUGUUGGUCGUGCUUCGGUACGUACUGUCAUUACUGGUUUCUACCUUCUGAAGAACCUUGAUGUCAUUAAUUUGGUGUCUUGGGGAAUCAGGACUGUUACUUUGAAAAAAUUAGAGUGUUUAAAGCAAGCAUACGCUUGAAUACAUUAGCAUGGAAUAAUGAAAUAGGACGUUUGAUUCUAUUUUGUUGGUUUCUAGGAUCGACGUAAUGAUUAAUAGGGAUAGUUGGGGGCAUUAGUAUUCAAUUGUCAGAGGUGAAAUUCUUGGAUUUAUUGAAGACUAACUACUGCGAAAGCAUUUGCCAAGGAUGUUUUCAUUAAUCAAGAACGAAAGUUAGGGGAUCGAAGACGAUCAGAUACCGUCGUAGUCUUAACCAUAAACUAUGCCGACUAGGGAUCGGAUGAUGUUAUUUUUUAAUGACCCAUUCGGCGCCUUACG
rnacentral:misc_RNA from 1 species